AUUGAACGCUGGCGGCAUGCUUUACACAUGCAAGUCGAACGGUAACAGGCCGCAAGGUGCUGACGAGUGGCGAACGGGUGAGUAAUAUAUCGGAACGUGCCCAGUAGUGGGGGAUAGCCCGGCGAAAGCCGGAUUAAUACCGCAUACGACCUGUGGGUGAAAGCGGGGGAUCGAAAGACCUCGCGCGAUUAGAGCGGCCGAUGCCUGAUUAGCUUGUUGGCGGGGUAACGGCCCACCAAGGCGACGAUCAGUAGGGGUUCUGAGAGGAAGGUCCCCCACAUUGGAACUGAGACACGGUCCAAACUCCUACGGGAGGCAGCAGUGAGGAAUAUUGGUCAAUGGACGAGAGUCUGAACCAGCCAAGUAGCGUGCAGGAUGACGGCCCUAUGGGUUGUAAACUGCUUUUAUAAGGGAAUAAAGUGGGAGUCGUGACUCUUUUUGCAUGUACCUUAUGAAUAAGGACCGGCUAAUUCCGUG
rnacentral:rRNA from 1 species